GACGAACGCUGGCGGCGUGCUUAACACAUGCAAGUCGAACGGAAAGGCCCUGCUUUUGUGGGGUGCUCGAGUGGCGAACGGGUGAGUAACACGUGAGUAACCUGCCCUUGACUUUGGGAUAACUUCAGGAAACUGGGGCUAAUACCGGAUAGGAGCUCCUGCUGCAUGGUGGGGGUUGGAAAGUUUCGGCGGUUGGGGUUGGACUCGCGGCUUAUCCGCUUGUUGGUGGGGUAGUGGCUUACCAAGGCUUUGACGGGUAGCCGGCCUGAGAGGGUGCCCGGCCACAUUGGGACUGAGAUACGGCCCAGACUCCUACGGGAGGCAGCAGUGGGGAAUAUUGCACAAUGGGCGGAAGCCGGAUGCAGCAACGCCGCGUGCGGGAUGACGGCCUUCGGGUUGUAAACCGCUUUCGCCUGUGACGAAGCGUGAGUGACGGUAAUGGGUAAAGAAGCACCGGCUAACUACGUG
rnacentral:rRNA from 1 species